rfam:Listeria grayi DSM 20601 genomic scaffold SCAFFOLD1, whole genome shotgun sequence.
AUAAGCUAACAACAAGCAAAACAUUUUCAUUUCUUUCUCCCUUUAAGAAUGAAAAUCCCAAACUCCCUUUUUUGACCGAUGCGGUUAUCCCUUUUCCGCAUCGGUUUUUUU